GGAGGCCUGUAGCUCAGAGGUAGGGUAUCUGAUUUGCAUGCAGGAGGUCCAGGUUCAACCCCUGGCAUCUCCA